UACGAAGGGUGCAAGCGUUAGUCGGAAUUACUGGGCGUAAAGCGUGCGUAGGCGGUCUCUUAAGUCCGUUGUGAAAGCCCUGGGCUCAACCUGGGAACUGCAGUGGAUACUGAGAAGCUAGAGUGUGUCAGAGGAUGGUGGAAUUCCCGGUGUAGCGGUGAAAUGCGUAGAUAUCAGGAGGAAUACCGAUGGCGAAGGCAGGUCUCUGGGCUGACACUGACGCUCAUGCACGAAAGCGUGGGGAGCAAACAGG
rnacentral:rRNA from 1 species